rnacentral:rRNA from 1 species
AACGAACGCUGGCGGCAUGCCUAACACAUGCAAGUCGAACGAGGCCAUCGGGUCUAGUGGCGCACGGGUGCGUAACGCGUGGGAACCUGCACUUAGGUUCGGAAUAACUCUCCGACAGGGGUGCUAAUACCGGAUAAUGUCUUCGGACCAAAGAUUUAUCGCCCUUGGAUGGGCCCGCGUUGUAUUAGCUAGUUGGUAGGGUAAAAGCCUACCAAGGCGAGGAUCCAUAGCUGGUCUGAGAGGAUGAUCAGCCACACUGGGAGUGAGACACGGCCGAGACUCUUACGGGAGGGGGCAGUGGGGGAUAUUGGACAAUGGGCGGAGGCCUGAUGCAGCUAUGCCUGGUGAGUGAUGAAGGUCGUAAGGUAGUAAAGCUCUUUUACCCGGGAUGAUAAUGACGGUACCGGAAGAAUAAGCCCCGGCUAACUCCGUG